rnacentral:rRNA from 1 species
AUUGAACGCUGGCGGCAUGCCUUACACAUGCAAGUCGAACGGCAGCACAGGAGCAAUCCUGGUGGCGAGUGGCGAACGGGUGAGUAAAGUAUCGGAACGUGCCCAGUCGUGGGGGAUAACGUAGCGAAAGUUACGCUAAUACCGCAUACGAUCUACGGAUGAAAGCGGGGGAUCGCAAGACCUCGCGCGAUUGGAGCGGCUGAUAUCAGAUUAGGUAGUUGGUGGGGUAAAGGCUCACCAAGCCGACGAUCUGUAGCUGGUCUGAGAGGACGACCAGCCACACUGGGACUGAGACACGGCCCAGACUCCUACGGGAGGCAGCAGUGGGGAAUUUUGGACAAUGGGCGCAAGCCUGAUCCAGCCAUGCCGCGUGCAGGAUGAAGGCCUUCGGGUUGUAAACUGCUUUUGUACGGAACGAAAAGGUUUGGCCUAAUAAGCUGAACCCAUGACGGUACCGUAAGAAUAAGCACCGGCUAACUACGUGCCAGCAGCCGCCGUAA